UUAUUAACUCAACAAUAAAUUAAAAUAUUCAUUAACAAAAUAAUCGUAAAUAGACAUCGAAUAAAAUCAGAACCCCACAAAUGUUCUUCCCCAAACCAAAAUAUCUGCUACUAUCGAGAUUAAACAGAAUCCCUAGUUCAUGUUCUGCUUCAUCGUCUCGCCAGCGGAAGAGCGCCGAGGGGGAGUUUGUGUUGAGGGAAUUGCUUCAGUAAUUCGUUCUUCCAUUCUCUUUUAAGUUGUUUCUUGCUCACGGCUAGAGUUGAGAAAUUUGAACAAUUGCUUCGUUUUCCUUUUUUUAAAUGGUCUGUUUCUUGUUGCUAGAAUCGAGAAUUUGGAUUUUCUUCGUUAAGCAGGGAAUUCGCAAAUUGUUUUAUGUUUCCAAUAUUCGGCAACACGACAAUUGACAUGGGGCAGGGUCUCUGUAUGUUUGGUUACAUGUAUAAACUACCACAAUUCGAGAGUUACAGCCAAAAAGAGAAUCAAUACGUGGCGAAAACAGUAAGUGGUUGCUAUUGUUGUGAUGACGAAGCAUAAUCGAAGCAUAAUCGAGGAGAGAGAUAUGUUUGGAAGGCCAACUUGUUGUUGGUUUCAGAGGUCUUCGUUCUAUUCGGUUGCCAUGGAGACUAUAAAAUCGAGGAAUUUUGUGCAUCCAGAUAUGGCUGAUGAUGGUCCAACAUGCAAUAGUGUCUCAAAUAUGAAGUUUCAGGCUUAAGAUGCUAUAAGCUUUCGGAUGAUUCUUAACAAGAAUAUAUGAAAUAUUUUUUUUGUGCUUUGAGGAAAUCUCUAGCUUACAAGAAAACAAUGUAUAUAUAUUAAGUAUGAAGCAAACCUCAAUGAUCCUAUUCUUUCAAUGUUUUGG
rnacentral:lncRNA from 1 species